rnacentral:rRNA from 1 species
UAUGUGAUCGUCUCUCGCAUAUCAAUAAGCGGAGGAAAAGAAACUAACAAGGAUUCCCCUAGUAACGGCGAGUGAAGCGGGAAGAGCUCAAAUUUGAAAUCUUAAAGGGUUUCCCUUUACGAAUUGUAGUUUAAAGAAGUGUUUUCUGUUGAGGUUUUGGUAAAAGUUCUUUGGAAUAGGACAUCAUAGAGGGUGAGAAUCCCGUAUUUGACCUUUACUUUCAACUUUGUGAUACACUUUCAAAGAGUCGGAUUGUUUGGGAAUGCAGUCCAAAAUGGGUGGUAAAUUUCAUCUAAAGCUAAAUAUUGGCGAGAGACCGAUAGCGAACAAGUACCGUGAGGGAAAGAUGAAAAGAACUUUGAAAAGAGAGUUAAACAGUACGUGAAAUUGUCAAAAGGGAAGCGUUUGACACCAGUGUUGUUUUUCUGAAAAUCAAUUAAAGAACUGUUUAUGCUAAGCUGUUUAGACUUUAUCAGCUAAUCUGUUUAGUUUUGAGCUUUUCUUUAAUGCACUUUUCAGUUAACAAGUCAACAUCAAUUUCUUUUGCUGUAAAAAAGCUUGAGGAAGGUGGCUUGAGAUUCGUCUUAAGUGUUUAUAGCCUCUUGCCUAUGCAGUCGGAGAGAUUGAGGUCUGCAGCGUAGAUCCUUCGGGGCUAAAUGCAUUUGUGCUAAGUUAUAGCAGUUUUAUAGACAACUUGUUGACUAUGAUUUGUCUUGUAGCUUACUCGCUUAUGUUAUUUUACCUACGCUUAGGAUGUUGAAGUCAUCGUAUCGCGC